AACACACAAUAUUUCCUUGUGCCGUUCUUGUUACAGUUAAUUCAACCUCUGCGGUAUAUUCGAGUUUUUUGUGUUGGUUUACGUUUACAUAUUGGAAAAGACUGGUAGACGACAUAUUAAUUAUGUUUGAAGAGUUGUUUAGAUGUAUAUGUGAAACACUAGAAAAAUAAUUUAUAACUGGAAAAUGAAAGACAUUUUCAGCAAGAAACAGUCAAAACACAUUGAAAUUUAGAUAUAUUAUGUACCGAUCUACAUACAAGAAAAAUAUUAAAUGUUACUUAGUUUUUUUAGAUAUUAAAUUUUUAAUUUUGUGGA